GCCCAGGUGGCGGAAUUGGUAGACGCGCACGGUUCAGGUCCGUGUACCGCAAGGUGUGGAAGUUCGAGUCUUCUCCUGGGCA
rnacentral:tRNA from 1 species